rnacentral:rRNA from 1 species
AGCUCCAAUAGCGUUUAUUAAUGUUGUUGUUGUUUUAUUGCUCGUUUUUUGUUCUCUACAGCCUUGAAGCGGUUAACUUUGUAGUUUUACUGCUUUGUAGGCUGUGCUUUUGCUGGAGGUUUAGGGGUGCUCUUGAUCGAGUGUCUCUGGAUGCCAGCAGGUUUACUUUGAAAAAAUUAGAGUGCUCAAAGCAGGCUAAAAUGCCUGAAUAUUCGUGCAUGGAAUAAUAGAAUAGGAUGUCGAUCCUAUUUUGUUGGUUUUCGGGACUCGACAUAAUGAUAAAUAGGGACAGUCGGGGGCAUUUGUAUUCAAACGACAGAGGUGAAAUUCUUGGACCGUUUGAAGACAAACUACUGCGAAAGCAUUUGCCAAGAAUGUUUUCA